UUCUUAUCAAGAGAGGUAGAGGGAGAGGGCCCUGUGAAACCCGGCAACCUGCUUCAUUAAUUAAUAAUUAAGAAUUAAAAAUGAAUAAGUUAUCAUUUUUAAUUAUAAUCUAUUAAUUGUAUAAGCGUGGUGCCAAUUCCUGCAAUUAAUUUUGCAAGAUAAGAA
rfam:Clostridium disporicum strain 2789STDY5834856 genome assembly, contig: SCcontig000010